rnacentral:pre_miRNA from 1 species
UGCUUAGAACUUUCCGAAACUUUCACCUUUCUGACUGAAAUUUUCCAUGCUUAGUUUCUGCCAAAGAUGAAUGUCUCCUUUUUGGAAAGUUGGAGU